rnacentral:rRNA from 1 species
UACGUAGGGGGCAAGCGUUGUCCGGAAUUAUUGGGCGUAAAGAGCGCGUAGGCGGUCCGAUAAGUCGGCUGUGAAAGUCAAGGGCUCAACCCUUGAAAGCCGGCCGAUACUGUCGGACUAGAGUCCGGAAGAGGCGAGUGGAAUUCCCGGUGUAGCGGUGAAAUGCGUAGAUAUCAAGAGGAACACCAGUGGCGAAGGCGAGUCCCUGGACAACACCUGACACUGAGGCACGAAAGCUAGGGGAGCAAACAGG